rnacentral:rRNA from 2 species
CUGGCGGCAUGUCUAUACAUGCAGUCGAACGAGCUUCCGUUGAAUGACGUGCUUGCACUGAUUUCAACAAUGAAGCGAGUGGCGAACUGGUGAGUAACACGUGGGAAAUCUGCCCAGAAGCAGGGGAUAACACUUGGAAACAGGUGCUAAUACCGUAUAACAACAAAAUCCGCAUGGAUUUUGUUUGAAAGGUGGCUUCGGCUAUCACUUCUGGAUGAUCCCGCGGCGUAUUAGUUAGUUGGUGAGGUAAAGGCCCACCAAGACGAUGAUACGUAGCCGACCUGAGAGGGUAAUCGGCCACAUUGGGACUGAGACACGGCCCAAACUCCUACGGGAGGCAGCAGUAGGGAAUCUUCCACAAUGGACGAAAGUCUGAUGGAGCAAUGCCGCGUGAGUGAAGAAGGGUUUCGGCUCGUAAAACUCUGUUGUUAAAGAAGAACACCUUUGAGAGUAACUGUUCAAGGGUUGACGGUAUUUAACCAGAAAGCCACGGCUAACUACGUGCCAGCAGCCGCGGUAAUACGUAGGUGGCAAGCGUUGUCCGGAUUUAUUGGGCGUAAAGCGAGCGCAGGCGGUUUUUUAAGUCUGAUGUGAAAGCCUUCGGCUUAACCGGAGAAGUGCAUCGGAAACUGGGAGACUUGAGUGCAGAAGAGGACAGUGGAACUCCAUGUGUAGCGGUGGAAUGCGUAGAUAUAUGGAAGAACACCAGUGGCGAAGGCGGCUGUCUAGUCUGUAACUGACGCUGAGGCUCGAAAGCAUGGGUAGCGAACAGGAUUAGAUACCCUGGUAGUCCAUGCCGUAAACGAUGAGUGCUAAGUGUUGGAGGGUUUCCGCCCUUCAGUGCUGCAGCUAACGCAUUAAGCACUCCGCCUGGGGAGUACGACCGCAAGGUUGAAACUCAAAGGAAUUGACGGGGGCCCGCACAAGCGGUGGAGCAUGUGGUUUAAUUCGAAGCUACGCGAAGAACCUUACCAGGUCUUGACAUCUUCUGCCAAUCUUAGAGAUAGACGUUCCCUUCGGGGACAGAAUGACAGGUGGUGCAUGGGUUGUCGUCAGCCUCGUGUCGUGGGAUGU